rnacentral:rRNA from 1 species
CUACUCCUACGGGAGGCAGCAGUAGGGAAUCUUCCGCAAUGGACGAAAGUCUGACGGAGCAACGCCGCGUGAGUGAUGAAGGCUUUCGGGUCGUAAAACUCUGUUGUUAGGGAAGAACAAGUACGAGAGUAACUGCUCGUACCUUGACGGUACCUAACCAGAAAGCCACGGCUAACUACGUGCCAGCAGCCGCGGUAAUACGUAGGUGGCAAGCGUUAUCCGGAAUUAUUGGGCGUAAAGCGCGCGCAGGCGGUUUCUUAAGUCUGAUGUGAAAGCCCACGGCUCAACCGUGGAGGGUCAUUGGAAACUGGGGAACUUGAGUGCAGAAGAGAAAAGCGGAAUUCCACGUGUAGCGGUGAAAUGCGUAGAGAUGUGGAGGAACACCAGUGGCGAAGGCGGCUUUUUGGUCUGUAACUGACGCUGAGCGCGAAAGACUUCCCC